GCCGGGUGUGGUGGCGGGCACCUGUAAUCCCAGCUACUUGGGGAGGCUGAGGCAGGAGAAUUGCUUGAACCCAAGGGACAGAGGUUGCAGUGAGCCUAGAGCAUGCCACUGCACUCCAGCCUGGGUGACAGAGCGAGACUCUGUCUCAA
ensembl:misc_RNA Metazoa_SRP Metazoan signal recognition particle RNA